rnacentral:rRNA from 1 species
AAGGGCACCACAAGAACGCGUGGAGCAUGUGGCUUAAUUUGACUCAACGCGGGAAAUCUUACCGGGUCCGGACACACUGAGGAUUGACAGGCAAUCAUGUGAAUCGCUGCUCUGAGCUUUCGAGUGAAGAGCUGGCAUUCGCAUAUAAAUAUGCUAGUCCUUUCAUGAUUAUGUGAUAGGUGGUGCAUGGCCGUUCUUAGUUCGUGGAGUGAUCUGUCUGCUUAAUUGCGUUUCGCACUGGACUUGAUAAUCAAGUGCUAUUUUUCUUGUGUCGGUUGUGCAGCUACUGCGUUUUGACGUACGGUGUUUACCCCAGCGGUCUUUGGUUUUCGGACUGGAUUUGCUGCGCGUGUGUUCAUUGUGCUAGUAGUUUAAUUGCGUGGCUGGCACUCUAUGAAAAAUUUUUUGCACAUUGGGUCCUGAAAGCAACGAACGUGCCCGCAUCCUCUUGUUGCCUUCUACCUAAACUACGCAUUCUUUUCUUCUUUUUGUACCUUCGGGUGCAGAAAGUGAAAGAUUUGUGUGCUUUAACAAAGGGGGCUUCAUUUUCUCCGAAAAUAAAACUAGAGGGACCGCUGCGACUUUUUUAAACCAGAGGAAGGUUGCGGCAAUAACAGGUCUGUGAUGCCCUUAGAUGUUCCGGGCUGCACACGUGCUACAAUGAUUAUUGCAGUGAGCAUCUAUUUCCAAACGCCGCUAAUCUGCGGUCAGCUGCAGUGCGCAAGCACUCAGCAGAUCAGUAGAUUCGGCUCAGCCUGCCUCGAAAGUUGCCAGGUAAUCAAUUGGAAGUAAUGAUUUCCCUUAAUUCAAAAUUUAUUUUUUGAUUUUGCGAGCACACAAUAUGCUGCUCCUUUCAAGGUAGAUACCAAUCUAUUGUGUAUCUCACCAUUGACGAUUGGAGUAUCUUUUUAAAAGAUUUCAAGCAUGUGCUUUUUGUCAAUUCAUGGUGGGGACAGACCAUUGUUAAUUAUUGGUCUCGGUCUCAACUAGGAAUGCCUUGUACGGGUCUUUGGUUCAACAACCACCCGGAAUACGUCCCUGCCCUUUGUACACACCGCCCGUC